CAUCGAUAAAUAUGACGAAGACCUCGUUAAGACAAUUAUUGGGCUCUUUCGGCACAAGAUGAUUGAUAAGAUAUUUCAAUGGGCAGAGAACCAUCGUUCUUUUUGCGACGGUCAAGAAGACCACUUUGACCAUUUUUGGGCAAUUCUGCCUAGCUUGAUCAAAUCGAAAUUUUAUACAAAACUUGACACCAGCGACCUGCCAUAGUCAUGUACUGCAAUUCCUCUGCCAAACUGUCCAACUCACGCUUUCAAGAGUUCAUUCGGAGUUUAGGUUCGAACACACCGAACCUAAAGGAAUUAAAAAUCGAUGCUCGAUUAUGGACCUUGGGAGAUGAUUAAUACGCUUAAAAAGCGUGAGUUGGCUUCGAUUAUUCAGCUGAAGAAUUUGGCCAUCCUUGAGAUAUACAUAACGUUUGCGUUCCUAUGUCAGGAGUUUUUGACAUCUCUCGACAAUGCGAAAAAUUAAAGAGCAUCUCAGUGAGUGAUAUCAUAAUCGACGAGUACCCUCCAAGUUUCACCUUCAGGAAUGACUUUGAACACGUCUACAUUUGUACACACGAUUCGAGCCCUGCUGGAAGGCUGUUGCUGGAAGAUGAAGAGGAUCAUACUGGACUCUAGUGUGAUUAUUCAGCCACGUAAUUCAGUCAAGGAUUUAAAAGUCGCUCAACCGUUUGCUGGAGAAAUAACGAGAAUAGACUUUGAUUUCACCUUCCUGAAGGAUAAUGAAGAAAUGGUAGAGAUUCCGCACUUUCCACAAAUCAAAUACGCAAGGAUUGAUUGCGGCCAAAAAUCGAGGCACGCUUUAAUAAUAAGGUGUUUCCUGAAAAGUCACGGAGAACGUCUUCAGGAGUUGCGUCUUUGCGGUGUUGACAUCAAGGACAACAUUUCCUUUGCCGAAAUCUUCAGCUUCUGCCCUAAUCUUGAGUCAUUGAAAUUAUAUCAAUGCAACAUUUCUGGGAACGAUGCUCCAGUUGAUGCAAUGCAACAACUGAAACGAUUUAAAUGGGAUUGGAUCUGCCGAUAUUCCGAUGGUGAAGUUGCUUUUUCGAGCGUUUUGUCUGCGCCGCUCCUCGAAGGUCUGUACAUUGAGUUACCUGAAGCUGACUUCAGCGACAACGCCACCAUCAUAGCUCGGAUCCAGAGACGCGAAAUCUUGCAGAAUCUCAAACAAUUUCAUAUGCUAAUUUUCAGUGAUGAACGUGAAAACUCCAAACAGUUAGAUGACGCUAUUGAUUCAGUAGUUUCUGCAAAUUGUUAAUUAAAAUAUGCUAUAUAAUAUUAGUAUAUAGAACAAUAAAAUUUUAAUCGUACCACACGAUUUUUUUACAUAUA